GUUUGUCCUCUGAAACUCUAGAAAGAGCUUCUCCUUCGGGAGCAGAGUGACAGGUGGUGCAUGGUUGUCGUCAGCUCGUGUCGUGAGAUGUUGGGUUAAGUCCCGCAACGAGCGCAACCCUUGAUCUUAGUUGCCAUCAUUAAGUUGGGCACUCUAAGGUGACUGCCGGUGACAAACCGGAGGAAGGUGGGGAUGACGUCAAAUCAUCAUGCCCCUUAUGACCUGGGCUACACACGUGCUACAAUGGACGGUACAAAGAGCUGCAAGACCGCGAGGUGGAGCUAAUCUCAUAAAACCGUUCUCAGUUCGGAUUGUAGGCUGCAACUCGCCUACAUGAAGCUGGAAUCGCUAGUAAUCGCGGAUCAGCAUGCCGCGGUGAAUACGUUCCCGGGCCUUGUCCACACCGA
rnacentral:rRNA from 1 species